GUUUGUGCUUUGACAUCUGAUGAAAUUGGAAUGAGACAAAGAAGAUUAGAAUAAUUAUUGCACAAGGAUAAUACACAUAAAUCGAGACAUAGGCUUAAACAUAUGU